rnacentral:tRNA from 1 species
CCUUCGAUAGCUCAGUUGGUAGAGCGGUGGACUGUAGAGUGAAGUGAACACAACUUGUGUGGAGUAGAAAUCCAUAGGUCGCUGGUUCAAAUCCGGCUCGAAGGA